GCUUUUUCCCAGGUUGAAAUGGUUGCCACAAGAGGACACAGUUUUAAGGUGCUGGGGAGUAGGUACAGAGGAGAUGUCAGGGGUGCUUCAAUGAUAAAGAUGUUGGUCCUCUGGGGAAAGAAACAAAUAUAUAUAUUAAAUUUAUUUUGAAUCCCAUGGAGCAUGUGGAGACCUUCCAAUAUCCAGGAGGAGGAGAAGAUGGCGGCACGACGGCAGCGCGCGCGGCCUCUCCGGUGACGAAUAUCUGUUAUCUGUCAAGUAGGGGACCGUGCACAAUUCUGAUUUGAUGGAGACAGAUGUGAGAGUACGGAGGAACAUCUGGAAAACUUCUGGAAUGCCUGCUUUGCUGCCGCUGCUACUAUGUGGUAACCGGAAUCUCCGGAGCAGAAGGCUCCGAAUCCUCAGCUUUGCUUGUUUCAGCGGCCGGGGAGAGGUCAAAGGCGCUCGGCAGAGGAUGGCGCUCGGGAGGCUGUAUUGGAGAGGCUGGUAGGAAGCUCGAGGCUUUCGGACGGAUGGACUCAGGGUCGGCUGCUUCUAAGGCAUUGGCAAGUUGACGGUGCCUGGAGGUUUAUGGCAGGGAGUUUCUCCCUUUUGCCGCCGCUAUCGGGGACUCGGGAGUCGAUUGACUCGGGGACUUUUGAGUCUUUAUUUACUGUGCCCAUGGUUUGUUCUUCAUCAAAUUAUGGUAUUGCUUAGCACUGCUGUAACUAUAUGUUAUAAUUAUGUGGUUCUGUCAGUGUUAGUCUUUGGUUUGUCCUGUUUUCUGUGAAAACACUCUGGAGAAACAUUGUAUCAUUUCUUAAUGCAUGUAUGCAUUUCUAAAUGACAAUAAUAAAAGAGGACUGAGUGUUCUCAUAAUCUAAAAAAAAUAGGGAACUUGGGGAAUCUCUUACACUGAGUGUUCUCAAGAACUUAGAGGUUAUACUGGAGAGAACUCCUACACUACUUCCAGGCUCAAAUUCAGAGGAAUUAAUUUAUCAAUUUCAUGUUGGAAUGGUUUAUAAAUUAUAUUCCAGUGUGGAAAAUCAUUAAUUAUCUAGACCAUAAAAGCAUAAGACCUAGGUGCAGAAUCAGGCCAUUCGGCCCAUCGAGUCUCCUCUGCCAUUCCAUCAUGGCUGAUCUAUUAUCCCUCUCAACCCCAUUCUCCUGCCUUCUCCCUGUAACCUUUGAUGCCCUGAUUAAUUAAGAACCUAUCACCCUCCACUUUAAAUGUACCCAAUGACUUGGCCUCCACAGCCGUCUGUGGCAAAGAAUUCCACAGGCUCACUAUCCUCCGGGUAAAGAAAAUUCUCCUCAUCUCUGUUCUAAAGGGACAUCUCUCUAUUGUGAGGCUGUGCCCUCGGGUCCUAGACUCUCCCACUAUAGGAAACAUCCUCUCCAAAUCCACUCUAUCCAGAUCUUUCGAUAUUCAAUAGGUUUCAAAGGGAUCUACCCUACUUCUUCUAAACUCCAGAGGGUAUCAUGCCCAGAGCCAUCAAGCAUUCCACAUAUUUUAACCUUUUCAUUUCUGGGACCAUUCUUAUGAACCUCCUCUGGACCCUCUCCAACGCCAGCACAUCCUUUCUUCGAUAAGGGGCCAAAACUGCUCACAAUACUCUAAGUGUGGUCUGACCAAUGCCUUAUGAAGCCUCAGAAUCACAUCCUUGCUUUUGUAUUCUCGUCCUCUCAAAAUGAAUGUUAACAUUGCAUUUGCCUUCUGUACCACUCAACGUGCAAGUUAACCUUUACGGAAUCCUGCACAGGAACUCCCAGUCCCUCUGCACCUCUGAUUUCUGAAUUUCCUCCCCAUUUACAAAAUAGGCCAUGCUUUUAUUUCUUCUGCCAAAGCGCAUGACCAUGCACUUCCCUACAUGAUAUUCCAUCAACCACUCCUUUGCUCGUUCCCCCAAUCUGCCUCGGUCCUUCUGUAGACACACUGCUUCUUGAACACUCCUGCCCUUCCAUCUAUCUUUGUAUCGUCCACAAAGCCAUCAAUUCUUUCAUCCAAACCACGGACACAUAACGUAAAAUGAAUCGGUACACUAACCUGUGCAGAACACACUAGUCACUGGCAGCCAACCAGAAAAGGCCCCACUCUUAGCCUCCUACCAGUCAGCCACUUUUCAAUCCAUGCAGUAUCUUUCCUGCAAUACCACAGGCUCUUGAUGAUUAUGAAGACACGCAGUCCUCUUUUAUUGUCAUUUAGUAAUGCAUGCAUUAAGAAAUGAUACAUUAUUUCCUCUGGUGUGAUAUCACAAAACACAGGACAAACCAAGACUGAAAAAAACUGAAAAAACUACAUAAUUAUAACAUAUAGUUACAAAUAGUGUAACAAUACCAUAACUUGAUGAAGAAGUCCGUGAGCACAGAAAGUUCAAAGUUUCUCAAAUGCCCCACAUCUCACGCAGACGGGAGAAGGAAGAAAAACUCUCCCUGCCAUGCCCGACCACAGUCCGACUCUGAGUUAUCCGAAAACUUCGAGCUCUGAUCAGCUCUCCGACCCCGAGUACUGAGCGCCAUCUCUGUCCGAACGAUUCGACCUCCUUCUCGGUCGCCAAAAGCAGGCAAGGCCGGGGACUUUGGGGCCUACUCUCCGAAAGAUUCAGGCAGGAUCAUGUGCGGCACCUUGUCAAAAGCCUUCUAAACAUCUAAAUAAACA